CGUGCUGCAUGGGAGAAUAGACAGCAGAGUAACACAGGAGGAGACAGCAACUGCAAAGGCAGCAGUAGAAGCAGCAUCCUGAUCCUGCAUGCAGAGGGGAAGCAAGGGCAUUAGGAGGUAAAUAGAUGGAACACGGAAGGAGAAUGACGUCUUGUUAUCCAGGGGUUACGUGUAAGGAACUGGAGGGUGUGUAAUGGAUCUCACCCUCCUCUUCUGAGGAGGAGUAGCGAGAAGGAUCGGAGGACCAAUGCGCAGCGUG